rnacentral:snoRNA from 1 species
CCCUCCUACAAAGGCGUGUUUUUGGUUCCCUGUCCUUGAACAUGUAAGAAUUGGAGGCAAAUAAUGUGGAUAUGGAGAAAUCUGUGGUCAGCAUGUUACUUGCAGGCUUGGGAUCAACCAUUCCACACAG